rnacentral:piRNA from 1 species
UGGGAACUCACAAGCAAGAAGAGAGCAGA